rnacentral:hammerhead_ribozyme from 14 species
GACUAGUCAGGAGCUAUUCCUGCUCCUUUGAUGAGUCCAUGAAUAAAGGUGAAACUAGUC